AGUCUGGUGCCAGCACCCGCGGUAAUUCCAGCUCAAUUAGCGUAUAUUAAAGUUGUUGCAGUUAAAAAGCUCGUAGUUGAACCUCUGUUUGGGACUAAUUUUGGCUUCUGUCAGGUUAGUUUCAAGCAUCCGCUUGCAAAACCUAGCCGUCAUUCACUUGUCGCUAGGAGGAGCAGGCAUUUUACUUUGAAAAAAUUAGAGUGUUUAAGGCAGGCAAUUGCCCGCAUAUAUUAGCAUGGAAUAAUAGAAUAGGACACUUUUCCAUUUCGUUGGUUAUUGGAAUCGUGUAAUUAAUAGGGACAGUUGUGGGCAUUUGUAUUUAAUUGUCAGAGGUGAAAUUCUUGGAUUUAUUAAAGACAAACUAACGCGAAAGCAUUUGCCAAGGAUGUUUUCAUUAAUCAAGAACGAAAGUUAGGGGAUCAAAGACGAUCAGAUACCGUCAUAGUCUUAACUAUAAACUAUUCCGACUCAAUGUUCGACUGGCUUAUAUAACCAGUUGAGCGUUGUAUGAGAAAUCAAAGUCUUUAGGUUCUGGGGGGAGUAUGGUUGCAAAGCUGAAACUUAAAGGAAUUGACGGAAGAGCACAACCAGGAGUGGAUUCUGCGGCUUAAUUUGACUCAACACGGGGAAACUUACCAGGUUAAAACAAUAGUGGGAUUGACAGUUUGAGAGCGCUUUCUUGAUUCGUUGGGUGGUGGUGCAUGGCCGUUCUUAGUUGGUGGAGUGAUUUGUCUGCUUAAUUGCGUUAACGAACGAGACCUUAACCUGCUUACUAGACUGCCGAUGUAUAAUCGACAGCUCUUCUUAGAGGGACUUUGGUUGUUUUAACUCCAAGGAAGUUUGAGGCAAUAACAGGUCUGUGAUGCCCUUAGAUAUCCUGGGCCGCACGCGUCAUACAAUGACCAGUUCAGAAAGUUUCAUCCUGAUCCGGAAGGAUACGGGUAAUCUUGACAGUACUGGUCGUGUUAGGGAUCGAUCUUUGCAAUUAUAGAUUUUGAACGAGGAAUUCCUAGUAAGUGCAGUUCAUCAGACUGUACUGAUUACGUCCCUGCUCUUUGUACACACCGCCCGUCGCUUCUACCGAGUGAGUGGUCCGGUGAGAUACUUGAACUUGGCCGGAUUUAUCCGAUCGGGGAAGAUUAUCAAACCUAUCCACUUCGAGGAAGAAGAAGUCGUAACAAGGUU
rnacentral:rRNA from 1 species